GCACAACGCGAAGAACCUUACCUAAGCUUGACAUCCUUUGACCGAUGCCUAAUCGCAUUUUCCCUUCGGGGACAAAGUGACAGGUGGUGCAUGGUUGUCGUCAGCUCGUGUCGUGAGAUGUUGGGUUAAGUCCCGCAACGAGCGCAACCCUUGAUACUAGUUGCCAGCAUUCAGUUGGGGACUCUAGUGUGACUGCCGGUGACAAACCGGAGGAAGGUGGGGAUGACGUCAAAUCAUCAUGCCCCUUAUGACUUGGGCUACACACGUGCUACAAUGGGCGGUACAAAGGGAAGCGAAGCCGUGAGGUGAAGCAAACCCCAUAAAACCGUUCUCAGUUCGGAUUGUAGGCUGCAACUCGCCUACAUGAAGCUGGAAUCGCUAGUAAUCGCGGAUCAGCAUGCCGCGGUGAAUACGUU
rnacentral:rRNA from 1 species